rnacentral:lncRNA from 1 species
CCAUGACUCUUGAGUUUGUGUGACAGGGUAGAGUCUGUCUAAGAAAGUCAAGAGUUUGAGUUCAUCCCAAGGGCUGAAAUACUAUUGGUUUAAUGAAUGAAUCUUUGAGUUACCUUAAAAGUCCCAAUUUAUAUGCAGAUAUCCUAAAAGCCCUCGACUAAAAGUAGGUUUCUUACCUAGGCAAUGACUUACUUCCCCAGACUCACGUUUUGCCUUUAUUCUGUUUCUUCACAUCUUUCUUGGAACUAUUUGUCUCCAAUAGGAGCUAAACAGAGAGGAAUCCCAAAAGGAGAAGAGGGUACCCACCAGCCCCCAGAAUUGCAGAGGGCUCAGCUCUAACCAUGCUUAGCAUGUCUGGUAUCUGGCCAUGUUCAGAGAAUAGUCCUUUAGAUGUCUCACAUUUAACAUCUUGGCUAAAAGAGCCAGAACACCUGUAAAGUGCAGCACUGUAUUUUAAAUCUCGCUGUGACUCAAAUGUGAAUUGGAAUUGCCUGUUCUUCAAAUAAUGUGGGCUGAAGAUCACUUAGCUGGUGAGAAUCCAGCUAACAGCUGCAUUCACUUUGGUACAAAAUGACUCAAAGGGACUUGGUUGGCCAGGCACAGUGGCUCACACCUGUAAUCCCAGCAAUUUGGGAGGCCGGGGUGGGAGGAUUGCUUGAGCCAAGGAUGUUCAAGACCAGCCUGGGCAAGAUGGCAAGAUCUCAUCUCUAAAUAAAUAAAUAAAUAAAUAAUUUUUUAAAAAGGGACUUGGUCAAUUUUUUUUCUUUUCU